CCCACUCAAAGUCUCAAUCAAUUCCCCCCUUACUGCUAAGUAAUUUCCAUUCUCCUCAACUCCGUAUUGUCCACUGAGUCUCUCCUAGGCAUGUAUCACUUCCUGUUUUAUUUACUAGAAUUAUUUAGUGUCAGUUUUCUCUCCCCUUACAGACUGUGAGUGAAGUCCCAGAAAUCAGGGUAAUUAAUGGAUUUGCUCUCGUAUUCUUUCUCAGGGACAGGGACAUAUCUUAAUCUUGUUGCACACAGUUAUUUGCUGAACAAAUACCCGGUUUGUGAGCCUCUUGAAGGAAGGGAUGAGGGCUUCAUCAUUACUGUGCACUUCCCAUCAUGCCUUGCGCAGGGCUAGGCUUACAGCAGACCUCGUAUUGAGUAUAUAAAACUGGUAGGCACUUUAUUUUACUUUGCAGCUGUAAUAUGCUUUCUUCCCUUUUCAGAGGUCUUUUGGAAGCCACUUAUGGAAGACCCUCUGGAGAGCCACAAAAGAGCAAUUUGUUCUUCCAGCAUGGAGGCUUACAUCUCUUGAAGCACACAGGCUUAGAGAUAUGACUGUUCUAACCUGUUCCUCAAUACUUUUGCUGUUGGAAUUGCCCUCAGUUUUCCAUUGAUAAGAAAAUCAGAAAAGCUGAGCGACUCCUUGAGCUCCACGUCCUCGGGCAGAAGGGUUUCUUUCAUGUUGCUGAUGCUACUUUGGGACAACUCAGUCUGAUUGUGUUGUUAAGCCAGAAGCAUUUAACCUAAACCUCCAUCCCUGCAUGGAGCCAGUUCACCAAAGUGUCUGGUGUGAGGGGGAGAAGAAAGCUGCUGAAACAAUGAGGUCAACCCUCCGAACCAAACAGGGUAAUGCUAGCUGGCCCGACAGAAGAUACGACUGCUAGGAAAUUCUGCACCCAUGUUUAUACAAAACCAAGCAGGAAAUGUUUG